rnacentral:rRNA from 1 species
GAUGAACGCUGGCGGCGUGCCUAAUACAUGCAAGUCGAGCGAACGGACGAGAAGCUUGCUUCUCUGAUGUUAGCGGCGGACGGGUGAGUAACACGUGGAUAACCUACCUAUAUGACUGGGAUCACUUCGGGGAACCGGAGCUAAUACCGGCUAAUAUUUUGAACCGCAUGGUUCAAAAGUGAAAGAGGGUCUUGCUGUCACUUAUAGAUGGAUCCGCGCUGCAUUAGCUAGUUGGUAAGGUAACGGCUUACCAAGGCAACGAUGCAUAGCCGACCUGAGAGGGUGAUCGGCCACACUGGAACUGAGACACGGUCCAGACUCCUACGGGAGGCAGCAGUAGGGAAUCUUCCGCAAUGGGCGAAAGCCUGACGGAGCAACGCCGCGUGAGUGAUGAAGGUCUUCGGAUCGUAAAACUCUGUUAUUAGGGAAGAACAUAUGUGUAAUUAACUGUGCACAUCUUGACGGUACCUAAUCAGAAAGCCACGGCUAACUACGUG